rnacentral:rRNA from 1 species
UACAGAGGGGGCAAGCGUUAUUCGGAAUUAUUGGGCGUAAAGGGCGCGUAGGCGGCUUUUCAAGUGGCGGGUGAAAUCCCUCGGCUUAACCGAGGAACUGCCUGCCAGACUGGAAGGCUUGAGAUCGGGAGAGGUGAGUGGAAUUCCCAGUGUAGAGGUGAAAUUCGUAGAUAUUAGGAAGAACACCAGUGGCGAAGGCGGCUCACUGGCCCGGUGCUGACGCUGAGGCGCGAAAGCGUGGGGAGCAAACAGG